rnacentral:lncRNA from 1 species
UUUUCUUUCCAAUCUUACUUCAAACCAGUUGAACAGAAAUAAAUAAUAAUUAACUUGAUAUAAUGUAAGAAGAUGGUUAUUAUUUUUUAUUACCAAAGGUUAAUCUUAAAUAACUGAAAGCUCCACCAACAACAGGAACUUGAACUGCAAAUUCAGAAGAACACAUACUCCAUUAGUAUAUUUGCCUCAACAAAAUAUCCCAUAAAUUCUCCUGCAUCAUCAUAAAUUAAUAAAAACAAGUUUUUAUACAAGAAUAAAUAAUAUUCAAAAGAAAUAAAUUAUUUUUUUUAUAAACAAAAUGUUACCAUAUUAGUUGUUAGCUUAGUAUUUUCUUUCCAAUCUUACUUCAAACCAGUUGAACAGAAAUAAAUAAUAAUUAACUUGAUAUAAUGUAAGAAGAUGUUUUUUUUUUAUUACCAAAGGUUAAUCUUAAAUAACUGAAAGCUCCACCAACAACAGGAACUUGAACUGCAAAUUCAGAGUAACACAGAGAAAAAAGAAGUGCUGAUAUUCAUGCAAUGAU